AGGUUCCCAUUCGAUCACCAAAGUUAAGCAAUGUCGAGGCUGAUCAGUACUUAGAUGGGGGACCGCAUGGGAACAUCUGCUACUGUA